rnacentral:rRNA from 1 species
GUCUGUAGCCAUACUGCCCACGCUGAAUGCAUCCGAUCUCAUCUGUUCUUGGAAGCUAAGCAGGGCCAGGCCAGGUUAGUGCUUGGCUGGGAGGAAACAGACA